CCACCACGGCUGGAAAUGCCACACGCGGGGGGCGGGGGACACUGCAGGGGGAACAGGGAAAGGCAUCCUCGCAGCACGGCCCAUCGGGAGGUGCAGCUCUGUCCCGCAGGCACUGGCAAGCACAGGCGUCUGCCCGCCUGCAUCCGCGCAGGGGAGACCCCCGCACGGGCCAGGCGCACUCAGGGUCUCCCUGGGUGCCCACAUUCGGAACAGGGACUUCUGCCUCACUUGAACGUCUUAUAAGCACGUGCCGCGUUGUCACCAAAAACCAAACCGCAGUCUGUCUCUCAACCUUGCUGUCCUGUUGUCACUGCCGUAACCCCGAGGGGGCAGUGCCAUGCUUCCCCAGGCCGGGGCCUGGCUGGGGACACGGGCCAAGACAAGCGUCUCCCCGCCUCUGGGGCAGCCCGACUCCCUCCAGCUCCAGCACACUGGUGUCUCCAGCUGCACAACCUCCCGGAACACGAGCAGUGCCCGAGCCGGGAAGGUGGCGUCUGUGGCUCGUGUGGGGCCGUGGAAGGACCAGCCACGCCCAGUGUGCAGCGGGUCACAGCAGCAGCUCCCAGGCCCACAGAGCGAUGCGGCGUCAGUCCCAGCCCCCAGAGAACCAGCCGCCUCUCCCUGGAGACGGAAGGCAGGGCUGCUGCUCUAGCUCGUCGGGGGCGCAGGCGGGAGAGAACGGGAUGGUCAGCCGGGCUGCUGUGCUCAGCCUCCCUCUGCUCCUCUGGAGCCGAGCGCUGGCGCCAGCAGCAGGGCUGGGCACACGCGGCGGUGCCGGGAUGGCCUGCACGGCGCUGGGAGCAGCUGGCCAUGCACAGCACGCGAGGGACUCGGCCCAGCCGGGGCCUGCAGCCCACGCAGCCAGGGACAGACAGCGGGACUCAGCAGUCGAAAGCAAUGGCGUCCCUGGGCCCCUGGGAGGAGGGCAGCUUGCUGCUCGCAGGGCACACGGAUCCCCAGGUAAACAAACGGGCCUUCAGGGCUCCUCCUUGGGGGCUGCCCCUCCCAGCGGGCAAUGGUCCGUGGCCGCAGCGGGGGAGACUGGACUGGGGGUCGCCUUGGCCCACAGCAGCCAUGUGUUCUGAGCAGACAGGGCAGCCCCGGUGGCCCUGGAGGGCAGAGAACAAACCCGGGCUGUCCCCCUGCCCUGUGUGCCUAACCCCACCAUCUGCAGGGAAUCGGCCUCUCUUCAGCCUCAGGGAGGAAACUCCGGCACAGAAAGUCUGACUCACGAGGGGCCAAGACCUCACGGAUGAAGCUCCCGGCAGCACCCAGUGCCCCCACGCCCUGGGUCCCAGGGGCGAGCGCUCACACACAGCUGCGACAGACACUGUGCCGGCCCCCAGGUGCCCACCCACACCUGUCUUGGCAGGAGCCUUCCGGUCCCCACCUGUGACUGUUCCUCAUACUGCUGAGAUGACCCCACGGAUCCCUGCCACGGCUCAUGCUCCUGGGGACGGUGCCCACAGGCUGGGAACACCUGCCAGGCCAGGGGCAGCUCUGCCUGAAAUCCGCCCUCACCACAGGAUUGCCACGGCCGGACGGCCCCAGGCUGCGUCUGCACCAAGCCCAGCCCCGCUGCCUUCUCCAAAGCUUGUCUGCCUCUGGGAGCCCGGGACCAAGCCUCGCCCCAUUUUCCACAAGAGACACCCCUUGAGAAAGGAAAGUAGCACAAAAGACCCCAUUUCCUGUCCACAGAUGAACCAGGGUGCUUCUGGCCACAGUGACGAAAGUUAAUUCCAACCCAGAGUUUGUGAGCCACAACCGACACAAGACGCACCGUGACCGACGGCCCAAGCCCUGCCCAGCGCCUGAGCACGUCCGCAGCCCGCUUGCUUCCUGACACCCCAUGGACAUGCAGCACAGGCCCAGAGCAGCAGGGCCAAGGUGAAGGGGGCCCCCCCGCAGGGCCUCUGUGCUGUGACUCACCUGCCUUCUGCUCCAAGGGCCCAGCACCCUGAGAUCCUGAUGCCAGGGUAAGCCGGGGGGACGCUCAUAGCAGAGGACACGGGUGGGCACUGGUCCCGGAGGUGGGUGCUGCUGACAGCGGUGGGACCCCAGCUAUGUGUCGUGGGGCUCUGGGAUGGCAGUUAGGGGGGGCAUCACCCACCUCUUAAACUCACAGUGAUCCCCGAGGCCAGCUCAGGAGCUCUGGCCGCCUACGCUGCCCCUCCAUGGGGGGACCCCUCUUGGCUGGCACAGCAGUUGAGGGGCCGGGAGGGGUUGGACACCGGGAGGCAGACGCUGCUGCUGUGAGGCAGGGGGGACGCAGCAGCUGGAGGCCCCUGUGACCCCACCGUACGCAGGGAACACACUCACCGCCGUCCUCAGAGGCCAAGGCAUAAGAGGAUCACCGAGCCAGGGGCUGUGCCUGCCUGAUAUUAAUAGCACUUGGCUGUGCCCGGUGUGGCCUGGACAGCCCCAGGGCAGCCCUCAGCGUGCAGGGCCCUCUGUGUGGGGGCUGGCACUCCCACCGGGGACCUGAGGCCACCGUGCUCCUGCGCCCUCCCGAACUCCGUGGAAACAGCUGCAGAGCCAAGACGGGGACAUCUGAGGCGAGCUCUUGGACAGCCGAGAAUAACUGCCCUACCUGCCCCGCCCCCGGCUCCGCUCGCAGAGCUCAGCAGAUGAGGCCCAGGAGCCAGCCCCGCCUCAGCAAGGUCACUGCCAGCCUCCCUCCACUCCCACGUCUCGAGCACAGCUACGAGUCACUGCAGCCCACCGGGGACUGGUUCCUGCACCAGCAGGGCCAGCUCUGAGGCAGGUGCGGAGACGGAGCCCAUGAGGGCCAGGGAGGCCAUAAACAACGGACAAGGCAGACAGACCGCCCUGCGCAGCCCAAAGAUGGGGAAGGAGGAAACCGGAGCGGUGGGGGGGGGGGAGCCUCCGGGUGUCUGCACAGACCUGGACGCCAGCUACAGCCCGCCUGGGACAUC